CAAAGCAGGAGUUGGUUGAAUUUAUGGUGCUUGAGUAAAUGGUGUUUUUAUGGUCAUGGUUUGAUGGAACAAGAAUAUUUGCUAAAUGUAAUGAACGUGUAAACGCUAAAUGAAUGUGUUUUUAAAUGGUGUUUUUUCAACAGUACUUACGUGUAGCAAUGAAGUGGCAAGAAGUAUACAUUUUAUAUCAAUUCCAAAGGUGAAAGGUCACUAUCGGGCCCCAUUUGGUAAAUAAUAACCAAGGGGGUAUGGCAUUGAUACAGAGGAGGGUCAAUUUUGAUGAAACAUGGCAGAAAAUAUCCGAUACAGUUGAAGCAGUCAUAUGCUUGAAAAAGGUUACAACAAAAGAUUGGAAUGAAAGAUUUACAUAUCCUUUCUGGUUAUAUGUU